GACGAACGCUGGCGGCGUGCUUAACACAUGCAAGUCGAACGAAGAGCGAUGGAAGCUUGCUUCUAUCAAUCUUAGUGGCGAACGGGUGAGUAACGCGUAAUCAACCUGCCCUUCAGAGGUGAACAACAGUUGGAAACGACUGCUAAUACCGCAUACGAUCUAAUCUCGGCAUCGAGGAUAGAUUAAAGGUGGCCUCUACAUGUAAGCUAUCACUUAAGGAGGGGAUUGCGUCUGAUUAGCUAGUUGGAGGGGUAACGGCCCACCAAGGCGAUGAUCAGUAGCCGGUAUGAGAGGAUGACCGGCCACAUUGGGACUGAGACACGGCCCAGACUCCUACGGGAGGCAGCAGUGGGGAAGCUUCCGCAAUGGACGAAAGUCUGACGGAGCAACGCCGCGUGAGUGAUGACGGCCUUCGGGUUGUAAAGCUCUGUUAAUCGGGACGAAAGGCCUUCUUGCGAAUAGUGAGAAGGAUUGACGGUACCGGAAUAGAAAGCAACGGCUAACUACGUG
rnacentral:rRNA from 1 species